rnacentral:tRNA from 1 species
GGGUUUGUAGCCUAGUAGGAUAGGGCAUCAGACUCCUAAUCUGAAGAUCGGGGGUUCAAAUCCCCCCAAAUCCG